UCUGACAUUUGCUUAAAGGUAAUUUGUACAAUAAUUGAACUAAGAGAGCACUUUCGGUAAACCCGGCGAUUGACUGAAGAAAUGCACCUACAGGAGAGACGGCUCAUUUUCUAUGUUCUUUUUAUGCAAAUGUUAUUUUUAUCCUAAUAGGAUGAGUUUUACAUGGUGCUUUUUCUUUCUCCUUUCCAUCUAAUCUCAGAACAGGGGCAGUCUGGCGCCGGCUGUCUACAGUGAGGCACCCAGUGUGUGUCUGUCAGAGUGGGUGCUUUCAGGAUGAACUCAUGAGCACAAUUAGAGAUUUCUGAGGAAUGAAAACUGAGAAAUUGCACUGUAAGCUCCUCGGCAUUCAGGAAUAUAUAAAAUGCAACUUUUUUUUUUAAUAUUUCCAGAGAUUUAUUUUAGAGUAUAAAAGACUGCAAAGGGUGUCAUAAAUUAACAUUUAAUUCUAAUGCAUACCUGUAAAUGUCUUUUAAAUACCUGUUAGGAAGAGUGAAAACUCUCUACUUUAUUAUAGGAUUUUUAAAGGUCUGUACAGAGUUGAGAUCAGGUGUUCUCUGCGUCCAUCCAGCAGCUCUGAGGCCUGUUAGGUCAGGGCUGCCUGUUGGCAGGUUAGGCAGGGGGCCAGGGGCUGCCUGUUACUCUAAGGGAUUUUAUUUCCUUGGGGGGCCUUUAGCUUUGUUCAGGGAGUUGAACAUUUAGUUAAAGCGCACAGUCAGCUAUGAGAUGAGGAACGUGUGGAUGUCCUUGUCUUGCUCUGCCUUAGUCGAUUCAGGUCCUCCUUCCACACUCAAUGCCAGUCACGCUUUUAGGACUGCAGGAAGACUUCUUAGCUCCCCACUGCUGCUUCACGUUUCUCUGAGGGAGAGUGAGAAAUCUGUCUGGGGGUUGGGGAUUUAGCUCAGUGGUAGAGCAGCGCUUGCCUAGCAAGCGCAAGGCCCUGAAUUCCGUCCCCAGCUCCGGAAAAAAAAAAAAAAAAGAAAAACGAGAAAUCUGAUUUUUAGUAGCUGUUACAUUUUUAAUUCCUUUCCUUUCCUUUCCUUUCCUUUCCUUUCCUUUCCUUUCCUUUCCUUUCCUUUCCUUUCCUUUCUUUUCCUCACCAUGCCCCCCCAACUCCAGUUUCCUUCCUUCUUUCCUUCCUUCCUUCCUUCCUCCUUCCUUCCUUCCUUCCUUCCUUCCUUCCUUCCUUCCUUCCUUC
rnacentral:lncRNA from 1 species